AUUAAGUUGCUCUCCACUGCUCAUUACUUCAUAACGGAAAUCAGGUUAUGCAAGUAGUAACAAAAAUGGUAUGCAGUUAUACCAAAACUGCAUGUCUCUGAUCUGAAUCAUGAUGCCGAGUGCUUUUAUUCACUUAAGUGCGGGUAUCAUAAGUGUAUUUUAAAAAAAAAAAAAUUAAAUUGCAGCUACAGAAAAUUGACUAAAACUGGCACUUCUUACUCAGCCAAUCUCAUCCGUUUGUGUUCUGCUUACUCUAGUGGCUUCUUACUGUCUGAAGCUAACAGAAGCAAGAGCUUUGGUAGAGUGAUAUGGAUUCUGUUCUAGAUCAUAUCUUAGACAGAAUGGUUAAUGUCCAGUUGCAGAGUUUCUGUUGUGGGUGAGACAUUAUUUUUGGCAUGUGUAUCUUGGCUUUCAGAUCCCAGGUUGUGUUGGAAGGACUGUGAGCUAGGAAAAGAGAACGUAUUUAUAAAACUGAACAGAUUUUAUCUGGAAUAAGUGAGGCAGCAAGCAUGGAACCCUAUGAUGUAAUUUUUAGUUAUUUUUCAGAAGAGAUACUUAGAAGCAAUGAUACUUUAAACAGCAAUCACUAGAGGAAAUGGGCCUCUCUUUUACGGCAUUCUAGAAAUACUUAGAUUCAGUUUUCAAAUACAUUGAAUUAGCUAGCUGUAGACCAUGAACUGUGAAGCAGGUAGUAAACAUUUAAGGUAAAAUAACAUGGUGCUUCUAUAUUAAUGGAUAACUAAGCGCUCUGUAUAAGAUCAUUUCAAUCAGACUUUUAAACUGGCAGGUGGUUAUUGAAUAGUGUUCUGUUUCAGUUGUUUUAUAUUUGAAUCUGUGACACAGGAUGCAUCAUGGACACAUCAAACGUAGACUAGUUUCUCUGCGCUCCAUGUCAAUGCACGAGGGGCCUGAUGUAUAUUUUUUUUAAAAAAAACUAUUGAACAUCUCGUUUUAAAGAGCACAUAUUAAAUCAGACCCAGUUAAGAUGAAGAAACUCCUUUUAAGUUUACAUGUGACAUAGGCAUCAAGUUCCUCAUGUAGAAAGGUUAUUUUCCUGAUGUCAGUGACUUCAUCUUACAGUGCAUAAUGUGUCGUAGUGAUUGAUCAUCUUACACUAACCUUUUCAAGGUUCUGUGGAUACGUUGUGAAUUCCUUCCAAAUAUGGUGAUGGAGUCCCAUCUUAUAGAGUCAUUCAUCCUGGAAAGCCUGACAGUCUUGUAACUUGAGCAUCAUGUCAAGUCUCAUUCCAUUUGGGGCUGUGAGAGUUUAUACUAUCUCUCUGCAUUCCAGACAAGUGACCAGGUAGAUAAAAAAGAGCAAAUUCACAUGUUACCGACCCAUGAGAGGAGCUUCUGUCUUCUCCCAUGACUGCUUACUUUGCUUAAGAGCUUUUGAUGUGGGACCUUAUGACAGGCUUUCUGAAAGUCCAGGUAUAUUAUAUCAAUUGAAUCACACUUGUUGACACUCAAAGAAUUCUAAUAGAUUGGCGAGGCAUGAUUUCCCUUUACAAGAGC